AUUGAACGCUGGCGGCAUGCUUUACACAUGCAAGUCGGACGGAAGCACAGAGAAGCUUGCUUCUUGGGUGUCGCGUGGCGAACGGGUGAGUAAUAUAGCGGAACUUCCCGAGUAAUGGGGAUAACUUAGUGAAAACGUAGCUAAUACCGGAUAAUAUAUUGAGGCGGAAGGCUGGGUACUUACGGACGUUUUUUCUUUCACGUGGCGAUGAAUCGGUUACGCAUUAGCUAGUUGGUAAGGUAACGGCUUACCAAGGCAACGAUGCGUAGCCGAGCUGAGAGGGUGAUCGGCCACACUGGAACUGAGACACGGCCCAGACUCCUACGGGAGGCAGCAGUAGGGAAUUUUGGACAAUGGGCGAAAGCCUGAUCGAGCAACGCCGCGUGUGUGAAGAAGGUCUUCGGGUCGUAAAGCUCUUUUGUCAGGGAAGAAAAGGCUGUUAAUAAUAUCGACAGCUGUUGACGGUACCUGAAGAGUAAGCACCGGCUAACUACGUG
rnacentral:rRNA from 1 species